CCUACGGGAGGCAGCAGUGAGGAAUAUUGGUCAAUGGACGAGAGUCUGAACCAGCCAAGUAGCGUGAAGGAUGACUGCCCUAUGGGUUGUAAACUUCUUUUAUAAAGGAAUAAAACGAGGCACGUGUGCCUUUUUGCAUGUAAUUUAUAAAUAAGGAUCGGCUAACUCCGUGCCAGCAGCCGCGGUAAUAAGGAGGAUCCGAGCGUUAUCCGGAUUUAUUGGGUUUAAAGGGAGCGUAGAUGGGUUGUUAAGUCAGUUGUGAAAGUUUGCGGCUCAACCGUAAAAUUGCAAUUGAUACUGGCAGUCUUGAGUACAGUUGAGGUAAGCGGAAUUCGUGGUGUAGCAGUGAAAUGCGUAGAUAUCACGAAGAACCCCGAUUGCGAAGGCAGCUUACCAAACUGUGACUGACAUUGAUGCUCGAAAGUGUGGGUAUCAAACAGGAUUAGAUACCCUAGUAGUC
rnacentral:rRNA from 1 species